rnacentral:rRNA from 1 species
UGGGGAAUAUUGCACAAUGGGCGCAAGCCUGAUGCAGCCAUGCCGCGUGUGUGAAGAAGGCCUUCGGGUUGUAAAGCACUUUCAGCGAGGAGGAAGGUGUGAACUUAAUACGUUCAUCAAUUGACGUUACUCGCAGAAGAAGCACCGGCUAACUCCGUGCCAGCAGCCGCGGUAAUACGGAGGGUGCAAGCGUUAAUCGGAAUUACUGGGCGUAAAGCGCACGCGGGCGGUUUGUUAAGUCAGAUGUGAAAUCCCCGGGCUCAACCUGGGAACUGCAUUUGAAACUGGCAAGCUAGAUCUCGUAGAGGGGGGUAGAAUUCCAGGUGUAGCGGUGAAAUGCGUAGAGAUCUGGAGGAAUACCGGUGGCGAAGGNGGCCCCCUGGACGAAGACUGACGCUCAGGUGCGAAA